rnacentral:rRNA from 1 species
AUGGAGCCCAUAAUCCUGAACUGGAAUGUAAGAGGCCUAAAUAGUCCGGCCCGACGGCGGACGAUUUUCAAUCUGAUCAAAGAUGCUGCCUGCAAUAUUGUUUGUUUGCAAGAAACCAAAUUGGCUAUGGUGGAUAAGUCUGUGGUUGCUGAGUGCUUGGGUUCAAAUUUCUCGGACAGUUUUAUUGCCAAGGAGGCUGUUGGUACCCGUGGUGGAAUUAUCAUUGCCGUCGUGCAUGGUUUCUCUAUCUCUUUGGAUCAGGCGGCCUCGGGAACUAAUUUCCUCUCUGGCACAAUGGUCGACCUCUCCACGACCUCCUCCUGGUCCCUGACUGGUCUAUGGCCCUCAGCUUGA